GCCCAGAUAACUCAGUCGGUAGAAAAUGAGACUCUUAAUCUCAGGGUUGUGGGUUCAAUCCACUUGUUGGGCG
rnacentral:tRNA from 1 species